ACGCUCGACACCUACGGGAGGCAGCAGUGGGGAAUAUUGCACAAUGGGGGAAACCCUGAUGCAGCGACGCCGCGUGAGUGAAGAAGUAUUUCGGUAUGUAAAGCUCUAUCAGCAGGGAAGAAAAUGACGGUACCUGACUAAGAAGCCCCGGCUAACUACGUGCCAGAAGCCGCGGUAAUCUGAGCGGGCUGGCAAGGC
rnacentral:rRNA from 1 species